rnacentral:rRNA from 1 species
ACCCAGACUCCUACGGGAGGCAGCAGUGGGGAAUAUUGCACAAUGGGGGAAACCCUGAUGCAGCAACGCCGCGUGAGUGAAGAAGUCAUUCGUGAUGUAAAGCUCUAUCAGCAGGGAAGAAAAUGACGGUACCUGAGUAAGAAGCCCCGGCUAACUACGUGCCAGCAGCCGCGGUAAUACGUAGGGGGCAAGCGUUAUCCGGAUUUACUGGGUGUAAAGGGAGCGUAGACGGCCAGACAAGUCUGAAGUGAAAAUCCAGCGCUUAACGCUGGAAGUGCUUUGGAAACUGCCGGGCUGGAGUGCAGGAGGGGCAGGCGGAAUUCCUAGUGUAGCGGUGAAAUGCGUAGAUAUUAGGAAGAACACCAGUGGCGAAGGCGGCUUUCUGGACUGAAACUGACGCUGAGGCUCGAAAGCGUGGGGAGCGAACAGGAUUAGAUACCCCAGUAAU